UACGGAGGAUCCAAGCGUUAUCCGGAUUUAUUGGGUUUAAAGGGUGCGUAGGCGGAAUUGUAAGUCAGUGGUGAAAGCCCUUCGCCUAACGAAGGAACUGCCAUUGAUACUGCAAAUCUUGAGUACAUUUGAUGAGGGCGGAAUGUGUCAUGUAGCGGUGAAAUGCUUAGAUAUGACACAGAACACCGAUUGCGAAGGCAGCUCUCAAAACUGUAACUGACGCUGAGGCACGAAAGCGUGGGUAUCAAACAGG
rnacentral:rRNA from 1 species